CUGGGUAGGAAGGUGCUGCUAUGGGGGGGGGCUGUUGAGCGAGGAGAAAAGGCUUGUUGUGGGCUGCCUGUGCUUGGGUAGGUGAUUGGGGUGUGGGUUGAGCACAGGAGAAAACCAAGUUGCUUCUGCUUGGAGUGCACUGCAGUGAAGGGAGAGACACCAAAUGAGGAAGGAUCUAUGAGGAACUGAGAGGGUAAAAUUCCCCACCCUCCACCAGGUACGUGGGAAGAGUUCCAAUAUAUUGGCAGCUGUUGAGCCAUCUGCUAAUGAGACCAGCUGGUUAACACUCACUGUGUUGGCUGUGGAGAUGAGAGGAGAGAGAGGAAACUGCAUUUGCUGUAUCAAUAUCCCAGCUCUUAAGGGGAGCAUGCACUUUAGAUUCCAAAGAAAGCCAGUCCUGAAUGGAACUGCAGACAGAAUGGAGACAGUUGAGUCUGUCCCAUUUAGGCGUUGGGUUGAAACUUUGAUCACAAGGCUGGAAAAACCUACAAAUCUGAAAGAGCAAGUUAAUUUUUUCUUGUCUGGGCUCUACUGCUUUAUGCUGCUCAGGGGAAUAUGUAGCCCUAUCCAGAAGUUCAUCUGAGUACAAAUGGAAGUAGCACAUUCGAUUAUAUGUCAUCGUGGGCACUGCCGAGCAAUUGAGACACAUGAACUCAGAUCUGGGAUCAUGAUAUUCUAUGAGGGGAAGGCUGGAACCUAUAGCUUCACAAUGCCCCCACCUCAUCCAUAAAACUGUACAGACUUUUAAUGAGUAGCAAAUAAAUUAUGCAAAAAGCUGAAA